rnacentral:rRNA from 1 species
ACGCUGGCGGCGUGCUUAACACAUGCAAGUCGAACGAUGAAGCCUAGCUUGCUAGGUGGAUUAGUGGCGAACGGGUGAGUAAUACGUGAGUAACCUACCUUUAACUCUGGGAUAAGCCCGGGAAACUGGGUCUAAUACCGGAUACGACCAAUCUCCGCAUGGGGUGUUGGUGGAAAGCGUUAUGUAGUGGUUAUAGAUGGGCUCACGGCCUAUCAGCUUGUUGGUGAGGUAACGGCUCACCAAGGCGACGACGGGUAGCCGGCCUGAGAGGGUGACCGGCCACACUGGGACUGAGACACGGCCCAGACUCCUACGGGAGGCAGCAGUGGGGAAUAUUGCACAAUGGGCGCAAGCCUGAUGCAGCGACGCCGCGUGAGGGAUGACGGCCUUCGGGUUGUAAACCUCUGUUAGCAGGGAAGAAGAGAAAUUGACGGUACCUGCAGAGAAAGCGCCGGCUAACUACGUGCCAGCAGCCGCGGUAAUACGUAGGGCGCGAGCGUUGUCCGGAAUUAUUGGGCGUAAAGAGCUUGUAGGCGGUUUGUCGCGUCUGCUGUGAAAGGCCGGGGCUUAACCCCGUGUAUUGCAGUGGGUACGGGCAGACUAGAGUGCAGUAGGGGAGACUGGAACUUCUGGUGUAGCGGUGGAAUGCGCAGAUAUCAGGAAGAACACCGAUGGCGAAGGCAGGUCUCUGGGCUGUAACUGACGCUGAGAAGCGAAAGCAUGGGGAGCGAACAGGAUUAGAUACCCUGGUAGCCCAUGCCGUAAACGUUGGGCACUAGGUGUGGGGGACAUUCCACGUUUUCCGCGCCGUAGCUAACGCAUUAAGUGCCCCGCCUGGGGAGUACGGCCGCAAGGCUAAAACUCAAAGAAAUUGACGGGGGCCCGCACAAGCGGCGGAGCAUGCGGAUUA